GUGGAGCUAAAGCAUCAACAAUACAAUCCAUGAAAGUGGAGUUGUGUAUAAAUUAAUGUACUGUGAUCUCCGUUGUGCAAAAGUGGAAGUUGGAGAGCAACUGCAGGAUGAAGGCAAGGGAGAGGGGAGAGAGAGAGAGGAUAGAGACAGAGAGAGAGAGAGAGACAGACAGACAGACAGAAAGAGGAAACCAAGGUAUUUCCUUGCCAAACCGUGCGGGAAUAUGAUUGUGUCGUAAUUAAAAUUUCAGCUGUAAAAAUGAAUCCUCGGGAUAAAACUUUAGGAGAUUG
rnacentral:lncRNA from 1 species